rnacentral:rRNA from 1 species
UACGUAGGGGGCGAGCGUUGUCCGGAAUUAUUGGGCGUAAAGCGCGCGCAGGCGGUUCUUUAAGUCCGGGGUUUAAGCCCGGGGCUCAACCUCGGGACGCACGGGAAACUGGGGGACUGGAGUGCAGGAGAGGGAAGCGGAAUUCCACGUGUAGCGGUGAAAUGCGUAGAGAUCCGGAGGAACACCAGUGGCGAAAGCGGCCACCUGGACUGCACCUGACGCUGAAACGCGAAAGCUAGGGGAGCGAACGGG